AUUGAACGCUGGCGGCAGGCCUAACACAUGCAAGUCGAGCGGAUGAGAAGAGCUUGCUCUUCGAUUCAGCGGCGGACGGGUGAGUAAUGCCUAGGAAUCUGCCUGAUAGUGGGGGACAACGUCUCGAAAGGGACGCUAAUACCGCAUACGUCCUACGGGAGAAAGCAGGGGACCUUCGGGCCUUGCGCUAUCAGAUGAGCCUAGGUCGGAUUAGCUUGUUGGUGAGGUAAUGGCUCACCAAGGCGACGAUCCGUAACUGGUCUGAGAGGAUGAUCAGUCACACUGGAACUGAGACACGGUCCAGACUCCUACGGGAGGCAGCAGUGGGGAAUAUUGGACAAUGGGCGAAAGCCUGAUCCAACCAUGCCGCGUGUGUGAAGAAGGUCUUCGGAUUGUAAAGCACUUUAAGUUGGGAGGAAGGGCAGUCAGCGAAUACCUGGUUGUUUUGACGUUACCGACAGAAUAAGCACCGGCUGACUCUGUGCCAGCCGCCGCCGUAACAC
rnacentral:rRNA from 1 species